GUCUGGAGUUCCAAAUGGGCAGGUCACAAGAAGCUCACCAUGCCAUUCUACAUCCGGAGGAGGACUGCGUGGUGGAGUUUGCAUAGCAAAGCCAUUGGAAAGGGAAAAUUGACAACAGAGGGUAAGGUUGGGCAGAGAGAGGGGGAAGGUCCUUCUCACUGUUUGCCCCAAGCCCUCAGUGGAACUGUGAAUGAAAGUUGGAGGAGUCUGGUGAAAUCGGAAUGAUGGAACUCCCUGCUCAGAUCCGAUGGCAGCACCGAGAAAAGCAGCCAGUGUGGGGUGUGGUCAGUGAAAGGGCUACAGACUGGUGGCCAACUGCUUUGAAGGACUUAGGCCAUUGACUGAUGACUUCUAAGGAGAAAGAUUUUUCCACCAGAGCUGAAUCUAGCAACAAUUGGCACCACUGGGUGUCUGUUCUCUGAGGCCAUUUUGCCAUCUCCAGC
rnacentral:lncRNA from 1 species